GCGGAGGGAUCCUUAUCGACAGUUUGCCAGCGGGACGCGGGGCGGCCAGGUCUGUGUCCUACUCCUCGGCUGAUUAGGUAAACCAACUGUGGGGUAGACAAUCUGCUCAAACACGCUCAGUGUGGGUGAAAGGUCACGUGAUGCACAUGCCCAGGAUUUGGCAGCGUGGACGGGGAUUAAAACUGAUACAGAGGCGACGGCGUUGUUGGUUCCCACCUCCCUCUCCACUUCAACAUCCGUGAGCUGACGGUGAACACGGUGUCGAGAUCGCCGCGCGCUGUGCCGGUACAGGAAUAUCAAGAAUGAUUCAUGAGUGGAAUGUUCGCAUGGCAACAGCUAAACAACAGGCCCAUUCAGUGGACUGAGCCCCCGGUGUUUAUGAGUAAUUGUUUCAACGGUGGCUAAGAGACAGUUGGCUUUGCCGUCGCAGGUACAGGCAGCGACUUGUCCGGCCUGUCAGAGCUCAAACCUGAACUUCCAGGAGAGGUGUGUGGGGAGGGGAGUCGGGAGGGCAAAGCUGUCACCUGAUGAGUGCACAUUGUGAUUAUUUAUUGAAAAGCCCCGGUGACACUUUGGCAGUGCAGCAUCCUUGAGGGGGAAGGGCGAGCAAAGGCACCAAAAAAAAGAAAAAGGAGUGGAGAGGCAGCCAGAGAAAGAUCUCCUAUACAGCUGUAAAUUCGCUCGGAGGUGGUGACAUUACACUCCCUCCAAAUUAUGAGCAUCUGCUACACUCACAGAAAUUCAGCCUCCCCAAUUUACCGGUGCUGCUUUCAUGAGAUCCGCGAUCUCUCGUCUUCGUCUACUAAUUGAUUCGCUAACAGCGAUGCCACCGAGCCAACUGAGACGUCUUCUCCAGCACGCUCCCCCCGCCACAACUUCUGCUGAACUAGCAAUGUUCCACUUGUGUCCCAUGGUGCACCCUUAUUUCUGCAACACCUGCUCUUUGCAUGACUCCUUGUUGAUAGGCCUCGCAUGAAUAAGACAUGGGAAGUGUAAGUGUGUAUCGCCCUUACGCAGGAGUAGCACGCUGCCCCCCCCCCUUUUUGUAUUCUCAUCACAGCCUGUAUCGUAAAGGUGUUGAAUUGAUUAGACAACAGGCAAAAACAAUUAUGAUGAUUUUCAGCCAUUUAUAAAGAUAGCAGCCACGACAGCUUGUUCUACAUUCACACAUGCUGGGUUUUUUUUUGUUUUUUUUCAUCAAUGUACAUGUUGCACCUGUGGUGAAAAAAAAACAACCUUUUUAUAGUUGCCUUAUAGCUUUUUAUACACUGGACAUCUAUUCCAUCAAAAAAGUACAUUUCCGAAAGAUCGGGCGAUGACAACAACUUACCGGUAGCUGCAGCCCUGGUUUUUAUCCAACAAACAUCUAACUUAGAAGCCAACCCUGACAUAUAACACUGUGAUUGCCCAACAGAUGCCACGGGGGGCCUUGUUAAUGCUGAAGUACAUAAAAACAAGCCUAAUUACUUGCACAUGAGCAUUUC